rnacentral:rRNA from 1 species
UACGUAGGGUCCAAGCGUUAAUCGGAAUUACUGGGCGUAAAGGGCGCGUAGGCGGACAGUUUAGUCAGAGGUGAAAGCCCAGGGCUCAACCCUGGAAUUGCCUUUGAUACUGGCUGUCUUGAGUACGGGAGAGGUGUGUGGAACUCCGAGUGUAGAGGUGAAAUUCGUAGAUAUUCGGAAGAACACCAGUGGCGAAGGCGGCUCACUGGCCCGUUACCGACGCUCAGGCGCGACAGCGUGGGGAGCAAACAGG